UACGUAGGGUGCAAGCGUUGUCCGGAAUUAUUGGGCGUAAAGGGCUCGUAGGCGGUCCAUCGCGUCGGGAGUGAAAAUCUGGGGCUUAACCCCAGUCCUGCUUCCGAUACGGGUGGACUAGAGGUAGGCAGGGGAGAACGGAAUUCCUGGUGUAGCGGUGAAAUGCGCAGAUAUCAGGAAGAACACCCGUGGCGAAGGCGGCUCUCUGGGACGGUACUGACGCUGAGACGCGAAAGCGUGGGGAGCGAACAGG
rnacentral:rRNA from 1 species